GCAGCGUUCCGGCUCUGUCGCUUGUGUCGCUUCAUGCAAUGACACAAGAGGAAAGUCCGGGCAGCAUAGGGUGCUCCACUUCCGAAAAUAGAAGUUGUUGGCGACAGCAAGUAAGAGCAGAAGAGAAUGACCGCCAUGCCGUUUGGCUGAAAAGACAAGGACAAGGUAAGGGUGAGAAGGUGGUGUAAGAGACCACCAGGCGGCGGGUGACCGUCGUGCUGUGCUCACUGGAGGCUGCAAGUUCAUGUAAACCGUCGUUGAGGGUUGCCCGCCCGACUAACUCCGACGGAGGGUAGAACGCUUGAGGUGCGGGGUGACUCGCAUUUUAGAUAGAUGACAGGCACCGGCGACAAUCAUGCCGCCGGAACAGAACCCGGCUUAUAGGGGCACUGCUUUC
rnacentral:RNase_P_RNA from 1 species